UUACGGCCACAUUGCGUUGAAACACCGGUUCCCGUACGAUCACCGAAGUUAAGCAACGUCGAGACUGGUCAGUAACAAGAUGCGUGAGAAUACCAGGUGAUGUAGU